rnacentral:pre_miRNA from 1 species
AGCAAAUCCUAUAGGCAUUUGCUAGAAUACACCCACUUAUUUUUUAGAAUGAGUAUUUUAGCAAAUGAAUAACUAAAAAGUGGUUAA